AUUGAACGCUGGCGGCAUGCCUUACACAUGCAAGUCGAACGGCAGCACGGGAGCAAUCCUGGUGGCGAGUGGCGAACGGGUGAGUAAUAUAUCGGAACGUGCCCAGUGAUGGGGGAUAGCCCGGCGAAAGCCGGAUUAAUACCGCAUACGACCUACGGGUGAAAGCAGGGGAUCGCAAGACCUUGCGUCAUUGGAGCGGCCGAUAUCAGAUUAGCUUGGGUGGGUAAAGCCUACCAAGGCGACGAUCUGUAGCUGGUCUGAGAGGACGACCAGCCACACUGGGACUGAGACACGGCCCAGGACUCCUACGGGAGGCAGCAGUGGGGAAUUUUGGACAAUGGCGCAAGCCUGAUCCAGCCAUGCCGCGUGC
rnacentral:rRNA from 1 species